CAACCCACAAACAGAUGGUUAAUCUAGGAAUCAAAUGAAGAAAUGGUCAACUCAUUAUGAAGAAAAUUCUACUGGAGUCUGGAGUCUACUAAUUUUGUACAUCUUGAGCAAUUGCUUCUCCUUGUAAAUAUCAUGUGGUGGGAUUUGGGUAAGAUUGUUUCGUUGAUAGUAGUAUGGCAAUGUAAUUUUUUCUGUGUUUUGAAAAUUAUCCCGAAGUUAUGUACAUACCAAAAUUAAGAGACUUGAAGAAGGCAUGUAGGAGAUAUGGUAUUCCU
rnacentral:lncRNA from 1 species